UAAAGAAUUUUGGAAGUUAGACAAUUUUUCGAGAACUUCCGUUUCAUUGUUUGAAGCAAUGGUUGGAAUUUGGAAUUUGGAAAUAGAAUUGCUACAUUAUAUUUAGCCAUUUAAUCAUUUUUUUGGGGGUUGCCUGAAUUAAGUGAUUGCAGCUGCGCGAGCCCAGGUGAUUUUUUUAAUGAAUUCACGAAUCAAACGCAGAAAUCCAUUCGUGAUUUUUUUUUUCUUCAGAUCAGAUUUGUGGAUUGAUCUGGGAAAAAUGAUGGUCAGUUACAGUGGAUAAGAGGCUAUCUCAAGGCACUUGAGAUACUUGUUAAAUGUACAGUUGAAGCCUGAAAUUACAAAGAAGGUUGUGAGGAGGAAUUCGCUCCACUGAAGGAAACACUGUGUAUUUUUAUAUUAUGUAGUUUAUUUUUAAUGCAAGUUUCAAUUUAAUUUGUAUGUGAAAUGGUACGAUAUAUUGCAAUACAAUUUUAUUUCCGGAA